rnacentral:rRNA from 1 species
AUAACAGUUGGAAACGACUGCUAAUACCGGAUGAUGACGUAAGUCCAAAGAUUUAUCGCCCAAGGAUGAGCCCGCGUAGGAUUAGCUAGUUGGUGAGGUAAAGGCUCACCAAGGCGACGAUCCUUAGCUGGUCUGAGAGGAUGAUCAGCCACACUGGGACUGAGACACGGCCCAGACUCCUACGGGAGGCAGCAGUAGGGAAUAUUGGACAAUGGGGGCAACCCUGAUCCAGCAAUGCCGCGUGAGUGAUGAAGGCCUUAGGGUUGUAAAGCUCUUUUACCCGGGAUGAUAAUGACAGUACCGGGAGAAUAAGCUCCGGCUAACUCCGUGCCAGCAGCCGCGGUAAUACGGAGGGAGCUAGCGUUGUUCGGAAUUACUGGGCGUAAAGCGCACGUAGGCGGCUAUUCAAGUCAGAGGUGAAAGCCCGGGGCUCAACCCCGGAACUGCCUUUGAAACUAGAUAGCUUGAAUCCAGGAGAGGUGAGUGGAAUUCCGAGUGUAGAG